UGGGCGCGUCUGUUGGGGGAAGGAGCAGGUGGCGCCCGGGGAAGCUCGCAGACUCCGGAGGGGGCCCCGCGGGGUGCCGGGGCGCUGGGCAGCUGCGGGCCUGCAGGACCUGCGAUUCCUUUUCUUCUGCACGAGUCUCCAUUGUUCAGCUGGCGACAACUGAGACAGGGAACGCUCAGCAUCCCCGGCCCACCUGCCACUGCCGACCCACCCCACACCCCGCGGGGGGCCGCGGGCUGGGAGGGGGGAGCCGUGAGAGGGAUGGGAUCGCGGCCCGGGCCCUCCCGCGGCGCGCCGGGGCGUGGUCCGGCUCGCCCUGCCCUUUCUGGGUCACCUCUGCAGGAGGGGCUGGGGAGCAAGAGUUAAGAUGGAUGCAGAACCCACAAGCGGUCUUCCGGAGGCUUCCAUGUGUGGGCGGUCGCCUGGAGACGUGGCCGGCCUGGCAAGGGUACCAUGGAGGACUCGGACGUGCUUCUCCUGAUGCACCGUCAUCAGCCAGACCAGAGUUCCCCGUCGCCCCCUCCCUGGGCUGUUGCUGGCGGCUCAGUUUGUUUCUUGAAAGGCCUCUCGAGGGCACCAGGAACGCCAGAGUUUUCCUGUCUUUCAAAGGUGCGCUCAUUAUCUGUCCUGGGUUUAUCCACCAAGAAUCUGGAGUAUUUUUACUUUCUGAUUCGUUUACAGCGGCUUUUCUUCCCUUCCGCGGGUCCCCCUAACCUGCUCCUCCGGGAGCGAGACACAGAGAGAGGAAACCAGGGCCCUGGGUGCACUCACCUGCUGCCCCUCAUUCUGUGACCUCAGGACUUUCCGCAGGCUCAUCCAGGGGACUUCCAGCAAACCGGGUUCCUCCACCGCCCUCCUAUCCCGGGUUUAGCCAAGUCUUCUGAAAGGUCACAGGUGUUUUGCAAACACCUGGCUGGCUGUUUGGAAACAUUUUGUCAUCGCUGAACAAAAACUGCAGGCAACAGAGCCAAGCUGCCUUCCCAGAGAAGGUCCCUGGAGCUGGGCACCCUGGCCCCUCUACUCCCAGCCCGUCCUGAGCUUCCAGCCGUCUGACCAGCCCUGUGUGGGCCGCGGCCACCCCAGCCCUGGGGCGGAGAGUGCAGGCGGAGCAGAGGAAGAGUCUGACCUCGGAAUGGCUGUCGUGUCUCCAGCGGGGUUCCUCCUGGCACCCCCAUGAAUUUGCCAUUGAUGGGCCUCUGCUCCCAAGUGUCUUUGAUUAUUGUUUGCAUCCUGGGCACAUGGAGGCCAAAAUUCCUUCCAGAAUCCUUGAUUUCUUUUCAGAUUGCUAGUCUUGCGUGCUUUGCACAUGCUAUGAGGGAGAAAAAGAAAAAAAAAAACAUAGCGUGUGCUCAGUGGCUGUGAGCAAGUGAUGGGACGAAGUCUCCACUUAACAGAGUGGAAGAAAUGCUCUCAAACUCUGCAAGAAUGUACCAUCGGGCGUGCGUGUGUGUGUGUGUGUGUGUGUGUGUGUUUUGUAUAUCAUUGCAGAUUCAGGAGAAACAGUAAAAUCGGAUUUCUUUUCCAUUCAGAA